UCAAGUGAGCGAGGCGGUCCACUUGCAUUACGCCGAACCCCCUCGCAGAACGGCCGACGGACCCGGCUCGCCGCCCUCGUGACCCCUCCGCAAGUAUCGCAAAGCUCUGCGAUGAAGCCUUGACCUUUUCCACGUGACGGUGCCGUCCGGGUAGCCUUCGGCAACGGCCGAGGAGUUGCGGCGAGUCGGGGAGGGAGGGAGGAGCGAGGGUCCACUCGGGUUUCAGCAAUGCCACAUGGCCUGUCUCCUCGUAGCUCAGGUAUAGCCUGCCACAGUGGCGUCAGCCUCGGAGCGCGGCCGAAGCGUGCGGCCCGAGGACCCCGGCCAUCUUAGGAGAUGCCGACUAAGAGACAACAGCCUGAUGACGGCAGGAGCUUCCCAGACGGUGAGCGGCCUUCUUUUGCACCUGAGGAGGAUUCGCAUCCCUGGAUGUCCGAGAGAUAAGUUGAGGGGAUGCAAGCGGGGUGUCGGGUCGGGGCUCGCCGGGAGGGAAUAUUGAGUCAGCUUCAGAGAUGGGGAUGUCUAAGAAGGGGCCCCUUUAGGGCCCCUAAAGGGCAAGUCUCCCUUUCGAUCACAGCGCUGAGGCGUGCCAGGCAGAGCAGUCCCAGUGCACGUUGUGCAGCUUGUCUAUUGUGUGUUCUGUCUCUACUGGGUGUCUCGUGUCUUCUGCUUUAGCCCUUCGAUGUGCCUGCGGUCAUUCUUCUCACCGAGAGUUUUCUCUCCUCGUUGCUUCCCCGCAUCUGUCAUCUGCUGUAUCACGGGUGCCUGUGUGGGUUUUCUCUGCAGCUGCUCUGCCCUGCUGCACCGUCUGGCAUAUAGGUGUAAUAGGACAGGGCCCAGGGACUUGAAGUUUGUAAUGUAGGGUGUAGUUUGACCUCAAGGUGGUAUUCCUAGAUUGACACAGGAUGGCUGGAGCUAUUAAGAUCCUAUGCAUCGCUUUGAUUUUUGUCAUCACUUUCUUUCAGAUGCAGACAGAUUAAAUCCGUGGCAGAGCACCCCACACCGGGUGAGGGGGUUCCCGCAGGAAGGAGGAAAAGACGGAUCUCAGCAGUCCAUGUCAAGUGAGCGAGGUGGUCCACUAGUAUUACACCGCCCCCCCCCCCCCCUUGCCGACCGGCCGACGGACUCGGCUCGCCGCCCCCGUGAGCUCUCCGCAAGUAUUACGGGACUCUGCGACGAAGCCUUGACCUUUUCCACGUGAAGGCAACGGCCGAGGAGUUGCGGCGAGUCGGGGAGGGAGGGAGGAGCGAGGGUCCACUCGGGUUUCAGCAAUGCCACAUGGCCUGUCUCCUCGUAGCUCAGGUAUAGCCUGCCACGGUGGCGUCAGCCUCGGAGCGCGGCCGAAGCGUGCGGCCCGAGGACCCCGGCCAUCUUAGGCGAUGCCGACUAAGAGACAACAGCCCGAUGACGGCAGGAGCUUCCCAGACGGUGAGCGGCCUUCUUUUGCACCUGAGGAGGAUUCGCAUCCCUGGAUGUCCGAGAGAUAAGUUGAGGGGAUGCAAGCGGGGUGUCGGGUCGGGGCUCGCCGGGAGGGAAUA